rnacentral:rRNA from 1 species
AAUAUUGGACAAUGGGCGAAAGCCUGAUCCAGCCAUGCCGCGUGUGUGAAGAAGGUCUUCGGAUUNUAAAGCACUUUAAGUUGGGGNGAAGGGCAGUAAGUUAAUACCUUGCUGUUUUGACGUUACCAACAGAAUAAGCACCGGCUAACUCUGUUCCAGCAGCCGCGGUAAUACAGAGGGUGCAAGCGUUAAUCGGAAUUACUGGGCGUAAAGCGCGCGUAGGUGGUUCGUUAAGUUGGAAGUUAAAGCCCCGGGCUUAACCUGGGAAUUGCUUUCAAAACUGACGAGCUAGAGUACGGUAGAGGGUAGUGGAAUUUCCUGUGUAGCGGUGAAAUGCGUAGAUAUAGGAAGGAACAUCAGUGGCGAAGGCGACUACCUGGACUGAUACUGACACUGAGGUGCGAAAGCGUGGGGAGCAAACAGG